rnacentral:tRNA from 3 species
GGGCCCGUAGCUCAGUUGGUAGAGCAACUGACUUUUAAUCAGUGGGUCGCAGGUUCGAUUCCUGCCGGGCUCACCA